GUAGGUGAACCUGCGGAAGGAUCAUUAUCGAGUUUGAAGUGGGCCUUUGAGCUCUCGUACGUGCUCGGGCCCCGCUCCAAUCCACUCAACCCCUGUGCACUUUCGGAGUUGCGGGUCACUGUUAACGCAGUCUCGUGGCUUCGUCUCUUAUCACAAACCAUUUAUUAUAUGUCUUGUAGAACGUGGAUGCCUGUAAAGGCGGAAACUCAAUACAACUUUCAACAACGGAUCUCUUGGCUCUC
rnacentral:misc_RNA from 1 species